UACGAAGGGGGCUAGCGUUGUUCGGAAUGACUGGGCGUAAAGGGAGCGUAGGUGGUUUUGUUUGUCUGGUGUGAAAGUCGAGGGCUUAACCUUCGGAUUGCAUUGGAAACGGCAAGACUUGAGUUCGAGAGGGGAGUAUGGAAUUGCGCGUGUAGAGGUGAAAUUCGUAGAUAUGCGCAAGAACACCAAAGGCGAAGGCAUUACUCUGGCUCGAUACUGACACUGAGGUGCGAAAGCGUGGGGAGCAAACAGG
rnacentral:rRNA from 1 species